UGACUCAUUAAACCCACUUUAAACCUCGCUUCAGAAUCCUCACCACUACUCCCCCCAGUCUCACUCUAUUCUCCUCCUCUUCCCUCCACCAUGAGCGACCGCGGUCGUGACCACCGUGGCCGGGACCGGGACCGAGACCGAGAGCGUGACCGCGAUUUCCGCGACAGAGACCGUGACCGAGAACGGAAAAGAGAGCGGGAAGAUCGCGACCGGGACCGUGAACGAAGCAAACGCGAGCGUUCUCGCUCCAGCGAGCGUACACCUGACCGCAUUCGAUCCCGCCACACUCGUUCUCGCACGCGCUCCCCAGCUGCUGAACGCCAACGCUCGCGUUCGUAUUCUCCCGAUCGCCACCAUCACCGCAGCCGCCGUCACCAUCGCUCGCCUACUCCUGAAAGUCCUCCCCGGAAACGACGACGGGAUGACGGCGAGAAGGAGAGGGAGAGCGAGAAGGACCGACAGCGUGGCUCUUCAGUUGAGAAAAAGAAGGAUAAGAAGGAGAGUGGUGGUGCUGGUGGUGACGGUAAAGGUGGAAUUGAUGGGGGGAUAGAGAAUGAUGAUGGUGAGAUGAUGGAUGUCGAUGAAAUUGAGAUGAUGAAGAAAUUGGGGAUUCCGGUAGGUUUUGAUUCUACAAAAGGGAAGCCGGUGGCUGGGAACGACGUCGGGUCAGUCAGGAAGGUAACUAAACGUCAGCCACGGCAGUACAUGAAUCGCCGCGGUGGAUUUAAUCGGCCCUUGCCUGCAGAAGUCAACCGUUGAUUUGAAAUUCUGAGGCUUUUAACCUACAGCCAGUUGUACCUCCUGCACAAUGAUUCUGGAAUUCGGCCGAUUGCUCCUGACUGGGCUUACCUUGUGUGAAGUGAUUGCUGUGGAACAUCGGUAUGCUUUCCUCCCCAAGAUUUAAUAGGCCUGGUCUAGGCUUCGGAAGUUUUCUGUUGGCGUACCUUGGCUGCCCCUUCUUGCUCUAGAAUCUGAGGCCAAGCUAUAUAAUUGAAUCCUGUUUGGAAACAUAAUAAUACUGAUUUAGCAGGUCAAAGGAAAAUAUUGGGAAGCAAUCAUUUGUGGCUUCUAUUGACACCACUAGCUGUCUGAAGUUGAUUAGGUUAUUGAGCAUUCAGAUUUUUCUGUUUAUUUAGUAUGUGAAUCAUGUUGUUUGCA